rnacentral:rRNA from 1 species
UUUAAAGUCUGACCUGCCCAAUGAGGAUUUGAAUGGCCGCGGUAUUUUGACCGUGCAAAGGUAGCAUAAUCAUUAGUUUUUUAAUUGAAAGCUGGAAUGAACGGUUGGACGAGAAAAUAACUGUCUCAAUAUAAUUUGAAUUAGAAUUUUAUUUUUAAGUUAGAAAGCUUAAAUAAAUUUAAAAGACGAGAAGACCCUAUAGAGUUUUAUAUUUAUUAUUAUAUUAAUAGUUUAGUAUAGUAUAAGUUUUUAUAUUAAUAAGUAUUUUGUUGGGGUGACAGAAAAAUUUAAUUAACUUUUUUUUUAUAUUAACAUUGAUUUAUGAGUGUUUGAUCCAUUAAUUAUGAUUAAAAGAUUAAAUUACCUUAGGGAUAACAGCGUAAUUUUUUUUGAGAGUUCUUAUCGAAAAAAAAGUUUGCGACCUCGAUGUUGGAUUAAAAUAAACUUUUGGUGUAGAAGCUAGAAAGUUAGGUCUGUUCGACCUUUAAAAUUUUACAUGAUCUGAGUUUAAACCGGUGUGAGCCAGGUUGGUUUCUAUCUUUAAAAAUAUAUUAUAUUUUAGUACGAAAGGACCAAAUAUAAGUAACAUUUAUUUUAUUUUGAUUAUUAUUAUU